ACAGAAAGGAAAAAUAAGAGAAAUUAACAAAAAGAACAGAAAGGGAACAACAAUUGCAUUCAGAGAAUCUUGAUCCUGGGUGUUGUGCAUGGAAUUUCAGCACUUCAACCAUGGCACCUUCAAUCAUUUUGUGAUUUGGGAUGCCACUUGUUCCCUAUGUAGGUAUUUUUGUGGAAAAUACUAGUACGUAUAUAAAACUUUAUCCGAACGAUCAGGUAGCGUGCCACUCCCGACUCAAUACAUAGAUCCGUCGCUGCCUUCAUGCAUGGCAAAGUGCGCUCUAUUAGGCGAUUGCCCCUCUAUGGCAUGUUUCCAGUCUUUUGCUUCAAUUGCGGCUGAUAAAAGUGGUGUUUGUAACCAUGAAUGCGCUUAUGGAAGAUGCAUGAACUAUAUUCUCCUUAACGACAAAGAGAAGUUCGGCAGUUGUAUGGCUAUUUGUCAAGCAAACUACUGUUCAGCAAAGGCAUCUGUUUGAAUAAGUUUUUGUUGUGUUGUAUCCGUGCGCCACAAAUUAGUAUACAUAUGUAUACUACUGGUCUUAUUACAUAAUGUGGUUAGUAUAAAUUUGAAAUAAUUGUAAUCGUUUGUAAACCGAUGUAGUUAUCUUUAUGGGCACCUAUUAAAUAAUUAUGUUGGCUAUGUUAUUAA